rnacentral:rRNA from 1 species
AUUGAACGCUGGCGGCAGGCUUAACACAUGCAAGUCGAGCGAGCGGCGGACGGGUGAGUAAUGUCUGGGAAACUGCCUGAUGGAGGGGGAUAACUACUGGAAACGGUAGCUAAUACCGCAUACCAUCAGAUGUGCCCAGAUGGGAUUAGCUAGUAGGUGGGGUAAUGGCGCACCUAGGCGACGAUCCCUAGCUGGGCUGGGAGGAUGACAAGCCACACGGGAACUGAGACACGGUGCAGCCUCCUACGGGAGGCAGCGGUGGAGAAGAUUGCACAAUGGGCGCAAGCCGGAUGCAGCCAUGCCGCGUGGGUGAAGGAGGCCUUCGGGUUGUAAAGCACUUUCAGCGAGGAGGCGUUACUCGCAGAAGAAGCACCGGCUAACUCCGUGCCAGCAGCCGCGGUAAUAC